GAUGAACGCUGGCGGCGUGCUUAAUACAUGCAAGUCGAACGGAAGGGCCCUGAUCUUGCGGGUUGCUCGUUUGGCGAACGGGUGAGUAACACGCGUGUAAACCCUACCUGACUUUGGGAUAACUUUAGGAAACUGCGGCUCAUACCGCAUAGGAUCUUUUGAUGCACGUGGGUGGAAGGAAAGAUUCGGCGGUUGGGGAUGGACUCGAGGCUUAUCCGCUUGUUGGUGGGGUAGUGGCUUACCAAGGUUUUGACGGGUAGCCGGCCUGAGAGGGUGACCGGCCACAUUGGGACUGAGAUACGGCCCAGACGCCUACGGGAGGCAGCAGUGGGGAAUAUUGCACAAUGGGCGGAAGCCUGAUGCAGCAACGCCGCGUGCGGGAUGACGUCCUUCGGGUUGUAAACCGCUUUCGCCUGUGACGAAGCGUGAGUGACGGUAAUGGGUAAAGAAGCACCGGCUAACUACGUG
rnacentral:rRNA from 1 species